GAUGAACGCUGGCGGCGGGCCUAACACAUGCAAGUCGAGGGGGAGGUUACUUUCGGGUAACUGAGACCGGCGUACGGGUGCGUAACGCGUAUACAAUCUGCCUUUCACUGGGGGAUAGCCCGAAGAAAUUUGGAUUAAUACCCCAUAGUAUAGUAAUACGGCAUCGUGAUGCUAUUAAAGCUUAGGUGGUGAAAGAUGAGUAUGCGUUCUAUUAGCUAGUUGGGGAGGUAACGGCUCCCCACGGCGGUGUUAGAUAGGGGUUCUGAGAGGGAUGUCCCCCACACUGGUACUGAGAUACGGACCAGACUCCUACGGGAGGCAGCAGUGAGGAAUAUUGGACAAUGGUCGGAAGACUGAUCCAGCCAUGCCGCGUGCAGGAGGAAGGUCUUAUGGAUUGUAAACUGCUUGUGUAAGGGAGGAAUAAGGGCUACGCGUAGUUUGAUGACGGUACCUUACGAAUAAGCAUCGGCUAACUCCGUG
rnacentral:rRNA from 1 species